UUAAGCGACUAAGCGUACACGGUGGAUGCCCUGGCAGUCAGAGGCGAUGAAGGACGUGCUAAUCUGCGAAAAGCGUCGGUAAGGUGAUAUGAACCGUUAUAACCGGCGAUGUCCGAAUGGGGAAACCCAGUGCAAUUCGUUGCACUAUCGUUAACUGAAUACAUAGGUUAACGAGGCGAACCGGGGGAACUGAAACAUCUAAGUACCCCGAGGAAAAGAAAUCAACCGAGAUUCCCCCAGUAGCGGCGAGCGAACGGGGAGCAGCCCAGAGUCUGAAUCAGCUUGUGUGUUAGUGGAACGGUCUGGAAAGUCCGACGGUACAGGGUGAUAGUCCCGUACACCAAAAUGCACAGGUUGUGAACUCGAAGAGUAGGGCGGGACACGUGGUAUCCUGUCUGAAUAUGGGGGGACCAUCCUCCAAGGCUAAAUACUCCUGACUGACCGAUAGUGAACCAGUACCGUGAGGGAAAGGCGAAAAGAACCCCGGCGAGGGGAGUGAAAAAGAACCUGAAACCGUGUACGUACAAGCAGUGGGAGCACCUUCGGGUGUGACUGCGUACCUUUUGUAUAAUGGGUCAGCGACUUAUAUUCUGUAGCAAGGUUAACCGUAUAGGGGAGCCGCAGGGAAACCGAGUCUUAACUGGGCGUUAAGUUGCAGGGUAUAGACCCGAAACCCGGUGAUCUAGCCAUGGGCAGGUUGAAGGUUGGGUAACACUAACUGGAGGACCGAACCGACUAAUGUUGAAAAAUUAGCGGAUGACUUGUGGCUGGGGGUGAAAGGCCAAUCAAACCGGGAGAUAGCUGGUUCUCCCCGAAAGCUAUUUAGGUAGCGCCUCGUGAACUCAUCUUCGGGGGUAGAGCACUGUUUCGGCUAGGGGGUCAUCCCGACUUACCAACCCGAUGCAAACUACGAAUACCGAAGAAUGUUAUCACGGGAGACACACGGCGGGUGCUAACGUCCGUCGUGAAGAGGGAAACAACCCAGACCGCCAGCUAAGGUCCCAAAGUCAUGGUUAAGUGGGAAACGAUGUGGGAAGGCACAGACAGCCAGGAUGUUGGCUUAGAAGCAGCCAUCAUUUAAAGAAAGCGUAAUAGCUCACUGGUCGAGUCGGCCUGCGCGGAAGAUGUAACGGGGCUAAACCAUGCACCGAAGCUGCGGCAGCGACACUAUGUGUUGUUGGGUAGGGGAGCGUUCUGUAAGCCUGCGAAGGUGACCUGUGAGGGUUGCUGGAGGUAUCAGAAGUGCGAAUGCUGACAUAAGUAACGAUAAAGCGGGUGAAAAGCCCGCUCGCCGGAAGACCAAGGGUUCCUGUCCAACGUUAAUCGGGGCAGGGUGAGUCGACCCCUAAGGCGAGGCCGAAAGGCGUAGUCGAUGGGAAACAGGUUAAUAUUCCUGUACUUGGUGUUACUGCGAAGGGGGGACGGAGAAGGCUAUGUUAGCCGGGCGACGGUUGUCCCGGUUUAAGCAUGUAGGCUGGUUGUCCAGGCAAAUCCGGAUAAUCAAGGCUGAGGUGUGAUGACGAGGUACUACGGUGCUGAAGUAACAAAUGCCCUGCUUCCAGGAAAAGCCUCUAAGCAUCAGGUAACAUCAAAUCGUACCCCAAACCGACACAGGUGGUCAGGUAGAGAAUACCAAGGCGCUUGAGAGAACUCGGGUGAAGGAACUAGGCAAAAUGGUGCCGUAACUUCGGGAGAAGGCACGCUGGUGUGUAGGUGAAGUCCCUGCGGAUGGAGCUGAGACCAGUCGAAGAUACCAGCUGGCUGCAACUGUUUAUUAAAAACACAGCACUGUGCAAACACGAAAGUGGACGUAUACGGUGUGACGCCUGCCCGGUGCCGGAAGGUUAAUUGAUGGGGUUAUCCGUAAGGAGAAGCUCUUGAUCGAAGCCCCGGUAAACGGCGGCCGUAACUAUAACGGUCCUAAGGUAGCGAAAUUCCUUGUCGGGUAAGUUCCGACCUGCACGAAUGGCGUAAUGAUGGCCAGGCUGUCUCCACCCGAGACUCAGUGAAAUUGAACUCGCUGUGAAGAUGCAGUGUACCCGCGGCAAGACGGAAAGACCCCGUGAACCUUUACUAUAGCUUGACACUGAACAUUGAGCCUUGAUGUGUAGGAUAGGUGGGAGGCUUUGAAGCGUGGACGCCAGUCUGCGUGGAGCCAACCUUGAAAUACCACCCUUUAAUGUUUGAUGUUCUAACGUUGGCCCCUGACCGGGGUUGCGGACAGUGUCUGGUGGGUAGUUUGACUGGGGCGGUCUCCUCCCAAAGCGUAACGGAGGAGCACGAAGGUUAGCUAAUCCUGGUCGGACAUCAGGAGGUUAGUGCAAUGGCAUAAGCUAGCUUGACUGCGAGCGUGACGGCGCGAGCAGGUGCGAAAGCAGGUCAUAGUGAUCCGGUGGUUCUGAAUGGAAGGGCCAUCGCUCAACGGAUAAAAGGUACUCCGGGGAUAACAGGCUGAUACCGCCCAAGAGUUCAUAUCGACGGCGGUGUUUGGCACCUCGAUGUCGGCUCAUCACAUCCUGGGGCUGAAGUAGGUCCCAAGGGUAUGGCUGUUCGCCAUUUAAAGUGGUACGCGAGCUGGGUUUAGAACGUCGUGAGACAGUUCGGUCCCUAUCUGCCGUGGGCGCUGGAGAAUUGAGGGGGGCUGCUCCUAGUACGAGAGGACCGGAGUGGACGCAUCACUGGUGUUCGGGUUGUCAUGCCAAUGGCACUGCCCGGUAGCUAAAUGCGGAAGAGAUAAGUGCUGAAAGCAUCUAAGCACGAAACUUGCCCCGAGAUGAGUUCUCCCUGAGACUUUAAGUCUCCUGAAGGAACGUUAAAGACGAUGACGUUGAUAGGCCGGGUGUGUAAGCGCAGCGAUGCGUUGAGCUAACCGGUACUAAUGAACCGUGAGGCUUAACCUU
rnacentral:rRNA from 1 species